UCCGGUUGAUCCUGCCGGAGGCUACCGCUAUUGGAGUUCGAUUAAGCCAUGCGAGUCGCGAGAAAUUAGAUUCUCGGCGUACCGCUCAGUAACACGUGGGUAACCUGCCCUAUGCUGGAUAAUAACCUCGGGAAACUGAGAAUAAUGAUCCAUAGUUCACUACGCCUGGAACGGUGAGUGGAUGAAAGCUCCGGCGGCAUAGGAUGGGCCUGCGGCGUAUCAGGUUGUAGGGGGUGUAACGUACCCUCUAGCCCUCUACGCGUACGGGUGUUGGGAGACAUAGCCCGGAGAUGGAUUCUGAGACACGAAUCCAGACCCUACGGGGUGCAGCAGGCGCGAAAACUUGGCAAUGCGAGAAAUCGUGACCAGGGAACUCCAAGUGCAUCGGGUAAGACCGGUGCUUUUCUUGACUCUAAAAAGGUCUUGGAAUAAGGGGUGGGUAAGGACGGUGCCAGCCGCCGCGGUAAUACCGGCGCCUCAAGUGGUAGUCGCUUUUAUUGGGCCUAAAACGUCCGUAGCCGGUCUGAUACAUUCGUGGGUAAAUCAACCAGCUCAACUGGUUGAAUUCUGCGAGGACGGUCAGACUUGGGACCGGGAGAGGUGUGGGGUACGCUCAGGGUAGGGGUAAAAUCCUGUCAUCCUGAGCGGACCACCUGUUGCGAAGGCGCCACACUAGAACGGAUCCGACGGUCAGGGACGAAGCCUAGGGGCACGAACCGGAUUAGAUACCCGGGUAGU
rnacentral:rRNA from 1 species